AAAGAAAGGAAUGAGAUUAAAUCAGUGGCUCUUUAAAAUCACCUGCAAGGGUUGUUAAAGUACUAAGCCCCACCCCCAGUUUCUGAUUCUUAUCUAAUUAUUGGAUAAGACUUGUGGAUUUGCAUUUCUAACAAGGUCUCAGGUGAUGUUGCUGGUCUGGAGGCAACAUUUUGAGAACUAUUAGGUUAGGGAAUGUAUUCACGAUUCCUUCCCUGUACAAUUGCCUCAGCCUGGUUGUGACCAGAAAGCCACUGCUCCUCCCCAGUUGUCCUGCAGUGUAUGACUCUGUUUCCUCUGGAAUUUCAGAGGAAUUUUUUUCCUGCCCUCAUCUUUUCAAAGGUGGUGAAAGUUCUAUUCCUGAUGGCCCCAAAUUCCUGCCCUAUCACCUGUUCUUCCUCUACGCCACACUUGCGCCUUGGUAACAGAACAUUCAAUGGGACUACAGUGAAAUUUGGGAGUCAUUGACAUAGCCAGCAAUGGAUACAAUGACUGUUGGAACUAUAUACAUCUCCUUACUGUUGGGAAAAGUGAGAAUUCCUCACCAGCAAGAAGGAUAGUUGUAUCUUAUAAGGGUGGAAAUACAGAGUUAUUUACUUGUUGUAUGAAAGUUGAAAUGUGUGUAAAAGGGUGUAUGGAAUCUGAGUUGUCAAAAGAAUAAACAAUGACAUUAAUUUAUUGCUUAUCUCAUAAUCGAUUAUGCAUUAUCUCCUGUGUAAUAAUGGAGCCAGUCCUCCAGAUAUUUCUCCUUCACAGUGAGCAUUAUGAUAUAAGCUUUAUCAGUAGAGGGUGUGGAGGGAUAUUGCUUCUGGGGUGCUGCUGUGUUGUAGUCUU
rnacentral:lncRNA from 10 species